GACGAACGCUGGCGGCGUGCUUAACACAUGCAAGUCGAACGAAGAGCGACGGAAGCUUGCUUCUAUCAAUCUUAGUGGCGAACGGGUGAGUAACGCGUAAUCAACCUGCCCUUCAGAGGGGGACAACAGUUGGAAACGACUGCUAAUACCGCUUACGAUCUAACCUCGGCAUCGAGGAUAGAUGAAAGGUGGCCUCUACAUGUAAGCUAUCACUGAAGGAGGGGAUUGCGUCUGAUUAGCUAGUUGGAGGGGUAACGGCCCACCAAGGCGAUGAUCAGUAGCCGGUCUGAGAGGAUGAACGGCCACAUUGGGACUGAGACACGGCCCAGACUCCUACGGGAGGCAGCAGUGGGGAAUCUUCCGCAAUGGACGAAAGUCUGACGGAGCAACGCCGCGUGAGUGAUGACGGCCUUCGGGUUGUAAAGCUCUGUUAAUCGGGACGAAAGGCCUUCUUGCGAAUAGUGAGAAGGAUUGACGGUACCGGAAUAGAAAGCCACGGCUAACUACGUG
rnacentral:rRNA from 1 species